UCAUCAUCAAUGCAGGCACCUCACGUACAACUUGGUAUUGUGAUUGUUGAUUGUACUCCACAUUGCAUAACCUAAGCGGCUCACAAUUACAGCUUGCACUACAUUGAAUUGAUGCAUUGCUUUGGCCAUGCUGAAUCAGACCAGACCCUUGUGAUCUGAUGACAUGCGCAGAUAUGCCUCGUCUAUUUCGUGCGAUUCUGAAACCAAAACAAUCACGCACACGUCCACGGUGAACCACACUGUCAACCGGAGCUCUCUUCAGCAACUUCACAUCGAUUUGGAAAAUGCGUCCAAUGAGGCAGCACUGGGAAACCUCAUUACGCAAAUGUGCAGCUUACUGCAACUUGCCAACUCCAAGAUUCAUUGACAGUAUUAAACCAAGAAUCCUGUCUUUCUUCGUGCUGACAUUUCAAGAGGAAGGGAGAUGAACAAACGAAUAGAGAGGAACGUCUAAAAAUGAAGCAAGUAAUACUUUGGUCAAGAUUUGAAUAUUUGGAAAUUAAAAGUCUUCCAAAGAUCGUCCAAGCUAGAUUCUUUUCUCCAUUUUUUAAUAAAUCUUUAGAGGGAAACUCUGUUAUUGUUCAUUAAAUAGAACUGGAUUUAUAUAAUAUCAGUAUUAUUCUAUUUUUUUUUAAAUUACAGUAUUUUCUUUACUAUAAAGCACACCUGACUAAAAGUUCCACCAUCCAAUUAAACAAUGAAACUGCAUAUUAUAUCCAGUUAUCCCUCAUUUGUCAUGGUUAAUGGGGACGAUAACCCGCCGCGAUAAGUGAAAAACCGCGAAGUAGCGGCCACCCCCCCCAAAAAUUUAUUUUAUGUAUUUAUUCAGAUUUAGCAUUGAAAACAGAUACAUAUACGACAUAUAUUUUCGCUUUUAUGUGUGUGUGUGUGUGUGUGUAUAUAUAUAUAUAUAUAUGU